CCCUUAGAUGUUCUGGGCCGCACGCGCGCUACACUGACGAAGUCAGCGAGCAUGUCCUACGCCGACAGGUGCGGGGAAUCUUGUCAAACUUCGUCGUGAUGGGGAUUGAUUAUUGAAAUUCUUGAUCAUCAACGAGGAAUUCCUAGUAAGCGCAAGUCAGCAGCUUGCGUUGAUUACGUCCCUGCCCUUUGUACACACCGCCCGUCGCUACUACCGAUUGAAUGGUUUAGUGAGAUCUUCGGAUUGGCGCCACUGCGGCUCAGCACUGGGCUCGGUGGAUGCCGAAAAGUUGAUCAAACUUGAUCAUUUAGAGGAAGUAAAAGUCGUAACA
rnacentral:rRNA from 1 species